UACAGAGGGUGCAAGCGUUGUUCGGAAUUAUUGGGCGUGAAGCGCGUGUAGGCGGCUUUGCAAGUCGGGUGUGAAAUCCCUCAGCUCAACUGAGGAAGUGCGCCCGAAACUGCAGAGCUUGAGUACCGGAGAGGAUGGCGGAAUUCCCCAAGUAGAGGUGAAAUUCGUAGAUAUGGGGAGGAACACCGGUGGCGAAGGCGGCCAUCUGGACGGAUACUGACGCUGAGACGCGAAAGCGUGGGGAGCAAACAGG
rnacentral:rRNA from 1 species